rnacentral:rRNA from 1 species
ACGAACGCUGGCGGCGUGCUUAACACAUGCAAGUCGAACGGAAAGGCCCUUUUGGGGGUGCUCGAGUGGCGAACGGGUGAGUAACACGUGGGUGAUCUGCCCUGCACUUUGGGAUAAGCCUGGGAAACUGGGUCUAAUACCGGAUAGGACUACGGCCUGCAUGGGUUGUGGUGGAAAGCUUUUGCGGUGUGGGAUGGGCCCGCGGCCUAUCAGCUUGUUGGUGGGGUGAUGGCCUACCAAGGCGACGACGGGUAGCCGGCCUGGGAGGGUGUCCGGCCACACUGGGACUGAGAUACGGCCCAGACUCCUACGGGAGGCAGCAGUGGGGAAUAUUGCACAAUGGGCGCAAGCCUGAUGCAGCGACGCCGCGUGGGGGAUGACGGCCUUCGGGUUGUAAACCUCUUUCAAUGGGGACGAAGCGCAAGUGACGGUACCUAUAGAAGAAGCACCGGCCAACUACGU